rnacentral:rRNA from 1 species
GUCCACGCCGUAAACGAUGAUAACUAGCUGUCCGGGCACUUGGUGCUUGGGUGGCGCAGCUAACGCAUUAAGUUAUCCGCCUGGGGAGUACGGUCACAAGAUUAAAACUCAAAGGAAUUGACGGGGGCCUGCACAAGCGGUGGAGCAUGUGGUUUAAUUCGAAGCAACGCGCAGAACCUUACAAGCGUUUGACAUCCCGCGCUAUCCUGAGAGAUCAGGGGUUCCCUUCGGGGACGCGGUGACAGGUGCUGCAUGGCUGUCGU